rnacentral:rRNA from 1 species
CCCUUAGAUGUUCUGGGCCGCACGCGCGCUACACUGACGAUGGCAACGAGUUUUUCCUUCGCCGAAAGGUGUGGGUAAUCUUUUGAAACAUCGUCGUGCUGGGGAUAGAUCAUUGCAAUUUUUGAUCUUGAACGAGGAAUUCCUAGUAAGCGCGAGUCAUCAGCUCGCGUUGAUUACGUCCCUGCCCUUUGUACACACCGCCCGUCGCUACUACCGAUUGAGUGAUCCGGUGAAUAAUUCGGACUGCGGCAUUGACCGGUUCCCGAUCGUUGCGGCGGAAAGUUUAGUGAACCUUAUCACUUAGAGGAAGGAGAAGUCGUAACA